rnacentral:lncRNA from 1 species
UUUAGAAAAUUAGAUGGGAAUGUGCAAAACUGAACUAGUGACAGAACAAAUAAGAGAAACUGAAAGAUAGCAGACAGAUGAAGAAUUAGAAGGGAUGAUAUGAACAUCAUUUACAAAGCAUAUCAUUCCAUAAUCCCAACUCAUUUUGAAAAGAACACAUGAAAAAAGGGAAAGACAAUGAAUUCCAGAAACUAACACUUAAUCCACAAUUGAUCUAGUAGCUAAAUUCCAACAAAUUUCAAUCAACUUCAUGGAUUCACAAAGAGCAAAUGCAGAUUUAGAAUUAUUGAAUCAUGCUGAAAUAUAAGGGACAAAUCGAAAAAAGCUGCCAGCAAUAUAGUAAUCAAGGAAUAUAACUCAUAACACAAAAUUCAAGUUCAAUAGGAAUCAUCCAUCACCUUAAAAAGUAAUUUCAACUAAUUGAUUUCAUAAAUCAAAUAUGAACAUAAAGGCUUCAGUGUGUACCUAGAGCUCAGCAAAGUAAGCGAUAAAAUCGGCAGAAAACAGCACCAAUCCCAGCCAAAUAUGACUCAAAAAAUCCAGAAAUUAUCAAACAAAACACUAUAAAUCAGACCAGAUUUUAAAAUCCUUCAUGAUUCCUUUUUUUUCACUUUUUUUCUUGUUUUAGAAGCUGAAAUUUCAGACAUCAGAGCUUGAAGCUAAUAGGGUUCUGCUAUGGGGGUUCUCGGCUGAAGAAGAAGAUAGAAAGGGGGAAAAUGCCGAUGCUCCUCUCCCUUGCGCCACUGCUUGUUUUUAGAGGAGAAGGUCCUCUUUUCGUUUCUUGAGUGAGGAAUUUGAUUCUUUAGUAAUGAUGGAGAGAUGAGGAGGAUGAAAGCAUGUGGAUGGAGGAAGAAAAAGGAAACAAAAAGAAGAGGGUCUCCAGAUGCGCCGUUUCUUCUUCUUUUCCAAGGAGGAGCUCCUGAGUUUUUUUAGGUCUGAGAUAGAAAUGAGCGUGUAUUCUAUUUUAAGUCUUAGGAAUCUAUUAAAUGUGAAGGGAAACGAAUCGGACAAGCGGGUUGGGGAUUGGGCCAAGGGAAGUUUUGGAUCAGAUUUAGGCAGGGUGAAAAUUGACCCAAUUUCAAAAGUCAAACCAUUUACCAAUUCUUUCUUUUAUUUUCUAAUUUUUCUUUUUCUUUUAAUUAAAAUACUACAAAUUAAAAAUCCUAAAUUAUUUAAAAGUAUAAAAUUAAACUAAUUACCUAAUUAUAAAAAUUAUGAACAAUACUUAAUUCUAAAUUAAAAGUGGAAAAUCAAUAAACCAAAAUUAAAAGACAAAAAUGUAAAAAUGAGUUUAAUUUGUGAUUUUUAAAUUUUUCUAAAGCAAAUAAUUAUAGAUUAAUUCUAACAAUGUAAAUAAAUCCUAAAUGCAAUGCAUUAUAUUUUUUAGAUUUUUUCAUGAUUUAAAUAAAAAUUAAACAUGCACAGAAAUGCAAACAAUUGAUUAAAAUCUACAAAAAUUCCUAAAAAUGGUAAAUAAUUAAAAAAAUCUAUUUUCUUGAAAUUCCGUAUGAGUAAUUCAUGUGAGACAAAAAUCACAUGCUCACAGCAGUCCCUCUUUGCUCGGAGACACGAAGGGUUUUCAGGCAAUGAUAGUGAGCAAUAUGAGGGAUUUUUGCCCGUUUAAAACUCCAUGAGAAGCAUUUUUGAAAAUAGCCUGACCGAACCUUGCUUUACAAGUUGCCUACAUAUCCUUGGCUAUAAAGGAAUUAAGUGAGUGUAGUUCUGGAAGUUUUGAUAGUUGGGACUACCGAGAAGCUGUGAUUUCGUUGUUGUUGCUGCUGUUUCUGCUUGCUGAGCUCCUUAUUACACCAUAAUAGAAAAUAAAAAGCUAAACUAGCUAAGCCUAUCAACUACGAGUUACAAGAUUCCUAUCUAUAAAUCUUGAAGCUUGAUCUUGAGUCUUGACUGGCUAUUGCUGUAGACUCCCAUCUGAAUCUUGAUGCUCGUUAGCUGUAACCACUGGUUCAUUCUUCAACUUUGUAUCAAGGCGGGACAUGCGAAGCCUGUGAUUUCAAUCAUAUCUUGGCUCAUCCGCGUCUUUCUCCGUUUCAGCAUUGUGAGUUCACUCUUUUGUUGUCUUUUUCUUUUAUUUAUUCUGGAUUACGACUCAUUCUUUUGGUCAUCUUGAAUCUUGUGCCUCGAGGUCAGACCUGCUCAGACACCAAAACAAACAAAUAAAAGAAAUUUUUCUGCACCAAUUUUCACAAGAAAAAUUUCGUAAGUUAUUUGCAACUAAGAUCCAAAACUUUUUUUCUUUUUUUUUAAAGCGAUAAAAUAAGAAUUGUGUGUCUUUAGAAGGAAAUAUUAGGGAAUGGAGCUCUAUAUCUAAAAUUCUCAACUAGGGAAUGGAUGCCCUAUGUUUGCAAAAAAGCGACUAAGGAAUGGAGGUCCUAUGUCUAAAAAUCUAAACACAGGGAUUGGAGCCCUAAUAUUGGCAAAAAGCGACUAGGGAAUGGAGGCCCUAUGUCUAAAAAUUACAACUCACGUAUUGGAGCCCUGAUGUUGGCAAAAAAAAGGAGAAUAGGAAAUAGAAGCCUUAUGUCUAAAAAUCUCAACUUAGGGAUUGGAGCCUUAACGUUGGCAAAAAAAAGGCAACUAGGGAAUAAAGCUCAUGUGCCAAAAUCAUAACUCAGGGAUUAGAGCCCUAAUGUUGGCAAAAAGGUGACUAGGAAAUGGAGGCCCUAUGUCUAAAAAUCUCAAAUCAAGGAUUGAAGUCCUAAUGUUGGCAAAAAUGGCGACUAGGGAAUGGAGGCCCUAUGUCUAAAAAUCUCAACUCUGGGAUUGGAGCCCUAAUGUUGGCAAAAGGCGACUAGGGAAUGGAGGCCCUGUGUCUAAAAAUCUCAACUCAGGGGUUGGAGCCCUGAUGUUGGCAAAAAAAGGACGACUAAGGAAUGGAAGCCCUAUGUCUAAAAAUCUCAACGUAGUGAUUGGAGUGCUAAUAUUGAAGAAAAAAAGGCAACUAGGGAAUGAAUAUGUCUAAAAAUCUCAACUCAGAAAUUUGAGCCCUAAUUUGGCAAAAAGACGACUAGGGAAUGGAGGCCAUAUGUCUAAAAAUCUCAAAUCAGGAAUUGAAGCCCUAAUGUUGGCAAAAAAGGCGACAAUGGAAUAACUUAGGAUUGGAGCCCUAAUGUUGGCAAAAAGGCAACUAGGAAAUGGAGGUCCUAUGUCUAAAAAUCUUAACUCAAGGAUUGGAUCCCUAAUAUUGACAAAAAGGCGACUAGGGAAUGGAGGCCCUAUGUCUAAAAUCUCAACUGAAGGAAUGGAGCCUUAAUAUUGGUAAAAUGGCGACAAGGGAAUAGAGGUCCUAUGUCUAAAAAUCUCAACUUAGGGAUGGGAGCCCUAAUGUUGGGAAAAAAGGCGACUAGGGAAUAAAUGCCCUAUGUCUAAAAACCUCAACUCAGGAAUUGGAGCCUAACCUUGGCAAAAAAAAGUGAAUAGGGAAUGGAGACCCUAUGUCUAAAAAUCUCAACUAAGGGAUUGGAGUCCUACUAUUGGCAAAAGGCGACUAGGGAAUGGAGGCACUAUGUCUAAAAAUCUCAACUCAUGGAUUGGAGCCUUAAUGGAAAUUGAGACUACUGAAUUAUGUACCUAUGCUAAAAUGAACCAAGAGGGAUUAUUUUUUUUUGUUUUUUUGUUUCGGAACAAAAUUCAAUUUUAAUUUUUUUUUUCUUUUGAGAAAAUCAUUCUUUUAAACAAAUUCCCCUAACGCUUUUUUAAAAAAAAAUCAAGACAUCUUUUUUUAAAGAAAUUAUUGUCCUAAGAGAAAAUUUAUCAGACUAGGUUUUAAUCAUAUGAGAAAGAUUCAUCAUACCAAGAUUUCUAUCCUAGGAGAAAGUUCACCAGACUAGGUUCCCUUUUUUUGUUAUCUUAGGAGAAAAAUUCAUCAGACUAAGAUUUCUAUCCUAGGAGAAAGUUCACCAGACUAGGUUUUCUAUCUUAGGAGAAAUAUUAAUCAGACUAAGAUUUUAAUCCUAGGAGAAAGUUCAUCAGACUAGAUCUUCUAUCUUAGGAGAAAAAUUCAUCAGACUAAGAUUUUGAUCCUAGGAGAAAGUUCAUCAGACUAAAAUUUUGAUCCUAGAAGAAAGUUUAUCAAACUAUGUCCAUUUUUGUUAUCUUAAUAAAAAAAUUCAUCAGACUAAGAUUUCUAUCCUAGGAGAAAGUUCAUCAGACUAGGUCUUUUAUUUUAGGAAAAAAAAUCAUCAGACUAAGAUUUGAUUCUAGGAGAAAGUUCAUCAUACUAGAUUUUCUAUCUUAGUAGAAAGAUUCAUCAGACUAAGAUUUUGAUCAUAGGAGAAAAUUCAUCAGACUAGGUCCCUUUUUUGUUAUCUUAGGAGAAAGAUUCAUCAGACUAAGAUUUCUAUUGGAAGGAAAAUCUAUCAGAUUAGGACUUUUUAUCCUAGGAGAAAAAUGUGACGACCAAAUGGCAAAAUUUUAUGCACGCGAGCAAGAUAGAAAAAGAUAAAAUUUGAGAAACUUUCCUUUGUCGGCUCUUCUCUUCCUUUUAUUUCAAUUUUUUCUUUUUUUUUCUAUUUUCUUUUCUUUUUCUCUUUUCAUUUCCCUUUAUUUUGAACCACUUUCCUUGCACUGCUUUAUUCCUAUUUCAAACAAAGAAAAUUUUAUCAGUUUUGAAAGUGGUGGUCGAUUUGUGGCCUUGAGUCCUGAGCAGCUUGCCAUUUGCUUAAUCGGUUUGAGUUGGUUUCAACGAGACCUUUGCUCUAUAUCAACCUUGAUUAUUUCACACCUAGUACCAUUUGUAUUUGUGGCUUAAUCAGCCAUACCCCAACUAGAGAUCCUUUCUCAGGGACCUUUUCUAAUAUCUUGAAUGGCUUCGCUUUUGGAGCAAUUUGUCUGUUAGAGAGAAUCACCAGUUAUCUUUACUUGCGCAAAGUAGGCUGAUAAGAGUCUUUUGGGGAAGCUUUACAUGAAUCCUCAAGGCACAUUGAUAGUAACAACCAAGUGUGCAGGCCAAAUUUACUAUAUGCAACUGAAAAACUGGUAACAGAUUUUGAAAUCUUUUCUUGCUUGUUUGACAAGGACUGACUCGGAGUGCAGGACAUAAUGAUGCAAAGAAACAAGUAUUAACAAGAAAUGCCUUGGUCGGGAAGGACAUGGGAAGAGUUAUUACGAUCACUUUAAACUAUUAUAAUUGGCCUAUUAUCUGACUUUAAUACAUGUUUUAGCCUAUUGUUCAAUUUUAGCUUUAUAACCGCUUUUAUUUAAUUAUUGUUACAUAUUGCAAAUCAUGUCACGCGAACCGUACCCACGAUUUGCAACAUGCUUAAUUUAAAGAUUAAAUUGUUUUCAGGUCACAUAAAUGUACUCCCGAAUUUUAGUAAUUAGGAAUCAAAGCUACUUAACGAAAACCGUACCCGUAGUUAUGAUAAUUAAUUAAUUCACGUGUCUAAAGAAAACUACGAAAGGUUAAAGGUGUUUUCUAUACUAAGUUAAUAUUAAUGAAAGGGCCAUAUUAUGGAAAUCAAUUGUGGAUGAAGAUGUUAUGACUUAAUUAACACAAAAUUUAUAAAAAUCUGCUUAAAGAAUUAGAGCUAAAGUUCUUGGGAAAACAGUGCUAAUAUGUAAUAUACGAAUAUCAACUUUAAGACAUAAUUUCUAUGCCUCCAGAUAAUGUGACAAAGCAAUCCUUUUUCUUUUUGUAGUUGCUAACUGGAAAGGAACAUUGCAAAUUCUUACGAUGUCUUUAACUUAGAAAUCUGACAUCACUUUUUUCAAGAAGAGAUCAAUUAAUUACAAAUAUUCUUAAUCUACUAAAAACUAAUAUGUAAAAGAUAAAAUUAAUUUUUUGAUCAGGAAAGAAAGAAAGAUAUUGAAUGGCUUUUCGGCGUAACUUUGAAAAAAAAUAGCUCUCUUGGUAAAGUCAUAACAAUUUAUUGCAACAACUCUCCUACAAAAAUUUUGUAAUAAAAAGAUAAAAGAGUUAACAAUAUUUUUUGCUCUUUAGAAAAUUAGAUGGAAAUGUGCUGAACUGAACUAGUGACAAAACAAUUAAGAGAAACUGAAAGAUAGCAGACAGAUGAAGAAUUAGAGGGGAUGAUAUGAACACUAUUUACAAAGCAUAUCGUUCCACAAUCCCAACUCAUUUUGAAAAGAACACAUGAAACAAAAAGGGAAAGACAAUGAAUUCCAGAAACUAAAACUUAUGCCAAAAUUGAUCUAGUAGCUAAAUACCAACAAAUUUCAAUCAACUUCAUAGAUUCGUAAAGAGCAAACAGAGAAUUAGCAUUAUUGAAUCAUGCUGAAACAUAAGAGAUAAAUCAGAAGAAGCUGCCAGCAAUGUAGUAAUCAAGGAAUAUAACUCAUAACACAAAAUUCAAGUUCAACAGAAAUCAUCCAUCACCUUCAAAAGUAAUUUCAACUAAUUGAUUUCAUAAGUCAAAUAUGAACAUAAAGUCUUUAGUGUGUGUACCUAGAGCUUAGCAAAGUCAGUGAUAAAAUCGGCAGAAAACAACACCAAUCCCAGCCAAAAUCGACUCGAAAAAUCCAGAAAUUAUCAAACGAAACACAAUAUAAGUCGGAUCAGAUUUUAAAAUCCUUCAUGAUUCCUUUUUUUUAUUUUUUUUCUUGUUAUUGAAGCUGAAAUUUCAGACAUCAGAGCUUGAAGCUUAUAAGGUUCUGCUAUGGGGGUUCUCGGCUGAAGAAGAAGAUAGAAAGGGGGAAAAUGUCGUUGCUCCUCUCUCUUGCACCACUGCUUGUUUUUAGAGGAGAAGGUCCUCUUUUCGUUUCUUGAGUGAGGAAUUUGAUUCUCUGGUUUUGAUGGAGAGAUGAGGAGGAUGAAGGCGUGUGGAUAGAGGAAGAAAAAGGAACGGAAAAAGCGCUGUUUCUUCUUCUUUUAUCUUUUCUUUAGGUCUCAGAUGGAAGGGAGCGUGUAUCCUAUUUUAGGUCUUAGGGAUCUAUUUAAUGUGAAGGAAAACGGAUCGGGCAUGCGGAUUUGGGCUUCGAUCAAGGGAAGUUUUGGAUGAAAUCUGGGCUGGGUGGAAAUUGACCCAAUUUCACAAGACAACCCAUUUUUCCAUUUUUUCUUUUAUUUUUUAAUUUUUCCUUUUCUUUUAAUUAAAAUUCUACAAAUUAAAAAUUCUAAAUUAUCCAAAUGUGUGAAAAUUAACUAAUUAGCUAAUUAUAAAAAUUAUAAACAAUACUUACUUCUAAAUUAAAAGUGAAAAAGCAAUAAACAAAAUUAAAAGACAAAAAUAUAAAAAUGAGCUAUUUUUGUGAUUUUCAAACUUCUAUAAAAUAAAUAAGUACUGAUUAAUUCUAACAAUGUAAAUAAAUCCUAAAUGCAAUGCAUGAUAUUUUUGGUAUUUUUUCAUGAUUUAAAUAAAAAUUAAACAUGCAUAAAAAUGCAAACAAUUAAUAAAAAUCUACAAAAAUUCCUAAAAAAGGUAAAUAAUUAAGAAAAAUCUAUUUUUUGAAAUUAUGUAGGAGUAAUUCAUGUGAGGCAAAAAUCACGUGCCCAUAGACCUUAUGAAAGAAAAAUCAACCUACACGUCGCGAUCAUAUAUGACUUCGAACUUAUAGUGGGAUUAGAAUUCUGAGGCAAACCAACACUAUACCCGCACCAUAUGCCAACAUGCUCCUGAUGAUGGAAGAAAACGGGGCCAAGCUCGCAUCAUAUCGUGCAUGCCCAUAAAGAUGGCCGCUGAAAAUAUCUCAUCCAUGCAGUUUAAGAAGGGAGUCAAAAGACAUGAACCUAUGGUUCCAACUACCCUUUGCAACAAGAACCAAAAGUCAUAUCAUCGACCUCAGAUGACUGAUAACGCUCCUCAGUGUGGGAAGACUCGUCAAGAAGAGCAAAAGGACAAGUCAGACUGCUAAUCACAAACGGGACUUUUGGAGCCACUACAUGCCCCCAGAAAGACCUUGGGAAAGUGUUUCCCUUAACUUCAUCACAAGAUUGCCCAAAGUCGAAAACCUUGCAUCCAUCUUGGUUGUAAUAGAUUGAUUUUCUAAUUAUGCAACCUUUAUAGCAGCCCCACAAACCAUAUUAGCAGAAGAUACAGCUCGGCUCUUCUUCUCGCAUAUUGUCAAAUAUUGGGGCCUGGCCAAAGACAUCAUUAGUGGCCUUGGCUCAUGCUUCACUAGCAACUUCUGGACAUAUCUCUUUAAGUGCUUCAAGUCAAAAUUGAGUCACAACUCAAGCUUCCAUCCACCAUCAAAUGACCAGACGAGACAGUUCUAUGACAUGCUGGACGAAUAUCUUCGUCACUUUGCAACCGGAUAACAACAGCACAGGGUGAAGUUUUUUGAUGCUGCUCGACUGUGUUUCAAUUCUCAACAGCAUAGGGUGAAGUUUUUGGAUGCUGCUCGACUGUGUUUCAAUUUUCAAAAGAGCCCCAAUACAAACAAAAGUGCUUUUGAAAUUAUUACCGGACAACAACCGCUUCUCCCGCAAAUGGUGAAUGCAUCAACCACACUGAAAUCUCCUCGAGCUACCAACCUCUCAAGGGAAUUGGAACGCAAUUUGGAGAUAGUGUGGAGCUAUCUCGUUAGAGCCCAAGAGCAGGUGAAAAGGUUCACUGAUCAGAAUCUUUGCUUUGUCCAACACCAAGCAGGAGACAAAGUGAUGCUAAACAUCCCAAGGCGGUACUUGUUCGCAGAGAGGACCCAUGACCCCUGCCUACUACAAAAACACAUUGGACCCUUGUCCAUUGAAAGCACAUUAGGAAAGCCAUAUACCAGGUUGUCAUCCCAGCCUGGUGGAAGAUCCAUCCAAUCUUCCAUGUCAGUCGCCUGAGAUCUCUUCGGAAAUACAGGGAACAUCAUUCACAAAGCCAACUCACAAGACAGAGUGGAACAGACCUCACGGCCAACAAGAGCCUGAUCGAUCAUCAUCUUGCAGGUAAGGCUCCGAGGACGUCGCUAACUCAGAUGGGGGAGAAUGUCAUGGGCGGCUUUCUACCAUGCCCCAUGACCCAUUUGACGCACCCCAUGGCAUAUUGGCAAGCCUCCCAACGCCCAGCGCAAUGGUCGGCACCGUGGUCUCGGCGGCGCCAAGUGACAAGCGCGCAUGUGCUUCUGUCGCCCCACCGAUAGCCCAUGCCAGCACCCACCGACCGGUAGAUGCCAACAGCGCCAUGUGCACAGACAAUGCCGAGCGCAUAGUUCAUGAUGAUGCCAACAACGCCGCACACACGGACAAUGCCGCGCGCGGAGACCGUGAUGCCUUGCCAGCAGCCAGCAGCAUGCGGGCUCCAAAUAGUGCCGCGCGCCUACAACAUCGCGCGCACAAACCCUGAUGCGAAAGACAAACUUGCUGCCACGGGCCUGUUUUCUGCCUUGUAGAAAACUAAGUCCUUUUCAUUGAAAAUAUAGAGUAGUUUUAUUUCAUGUACUUCCAUGUUUCUCUAGCUUAGUUAAGUCUAGUCUUAUAACUUUGGUUUACUUUUUUAAGCACUAUUAAUGAGAUCAAGCAAUUUCUAGCAAGCAAAUAUUUCUCUGUACUGGUGUCUCUCCCCCUCUACAGUGCAUAACCUUUUGUAAUAGCUUUCAUUAAUGCAAUCAAGCUUCCAUUCUUAAUUCUCAUUUUCGCAAUUGCUCUUGACAUUGGUUUUCUAGUACAGCACUGACAAACUCGUCUAGCAUACGGCGGGAAACUCACUUGGCGGACAACAAUCGUAGUGACAUCGGUUGCUUAGUCUUACGUCGCCCUUCUAAGGAACCUCAUGAAGGCGCUGCGUAACAGGCCACACGCUUGGGCUGCAUAAAUACAUAUUAUUUCUUUUGCUCAAAUCAAGAUAAUGAUGCAAUUUGGGAAGAGAAAGAAAGGUCCAGGACACAUGAUCACAUAAAUUAGGUGCAAGUCACUGCCUAUAAUACUAAUUUCAGCAACAGAAAGUCCUGCUCUUGAAGUUAACAAGCACAUGAUAUGGACACCUCCUUAUUAAUGGUAAAGGCAAGAUUCCACAAAGCAAAAAACUUCCCUGUCCUCUUCAGUCCAUGGACAACUACUUUAAGCCAUUGUUUUUGAAAUAGAGUCAUAAACUGCCUGAGUGCUAAAACAAACAUCCUUUGCUUCACUCAAGUCCUUUCAAACUAAUGGAAUCGUUUGCGCAACAAUCAUCAAGAAAGAUCAUAUAUAAAGGUCCUGAAACUGAAUUUCGAUUUUCCAGUCUCUCGGAGUCUAGCUUAUAGACAUGACCUAUAUUACGUGGAUCCUUCAUUUACCUUGAACUACCCAUGCCAAUCAGGUGCGACGUGAGUGAAUAUGCUCAUAAACACAUAGCCUAGGUCAUAACUACUUCAUAAGCAGCUUAUGCAACAACGAGAGAGAAACAUUCAGCUGUCCAUUCUGGAAAACCUGUUGGCUCCAUUUACUUAUUUUGCUUUUUCUUUAUCUCAACCAGUCUAUACAACUUUCUUUUUUCAGUUGAGAUUAGAAGCUGUCAAAUUGUUACUGUUCUCUCAUAACAGCAGAUUUACUACUAGAGUUAUGGCAUACAUUAAUGCAUCAGCAACAAAAAACUUAUGCCCUGCCCAAAGUAAUACUACAAGCAAUGCACAUAAUGGCAAGAAAAACUGAAACAACACAAUCAGUGGUCUCCAGAAUAAGUAUUGAUCAAAAACUGGCUUUCAUUCUAAACUGUUCAAUGCUGCAGAUAUAUAAAUACUUAUCACUCAAAAGUAGGAAGGUGGAACAAACAUCUUUGACUAUUAGCUUAACUACCGUUAAAGGAAACAGCGGCAGAGAGUGUCAAAACAUAAGAAGUAAACAUACAAAAAAGUUAAGGGGAUUCAACAUACCACGCGCGUGUAUAACUAUAUAUAUAUAUAUAUAUAUAUAUAUAAAAGGGGGAAAAUGUCGUUGCUCCUCUCUCUUGCACCACUGCUUGUUUUUAGAGGAGAAGGUCCUCUUUUCGUUUCUUGAGUGAGGAAUUUGAUUCUCUGGUUUUGAUGGAGAGAUGAGGAGGAUGAAGGCGUGUGGAUAGAGGAAGAAAAAGGAACGGAAAAAGCGCUGUUUCUUCUUCUUUUAUCUUUUCUUUAGGUCUCAGAUGGAAGGGAGCGUGUAUCCUAUUUUAGGUCUUAGGGAUCUAUUUAAUGUGAAGGAAAACGGAUCGGGCAUGCGGAUUUGGGCUUCGAUCAAGGGAAGUUUUGGAUGAAAUCUGGGCUGGGUGGAAAUUGACCCAAUUUCACAAGACAACCCAUUUUUCCAUUUUUUCUUUUAUUUUUUAAUUUUUCCUUUUCUUUUAAUUAAAAUUCUACAAAUUAAAAAUUCUAAAUUAUCCAAAUGUGUGAAAAUUAACUAAUUAGCUAAUUAUAAAAAUUAUAAACAAUACUUACUUCUAAAUUAAAAGUGAAAAAGCAAUAAACAAAAUUAAAAGACAAAAAUAUAAAAAUGAGCUAUUUUUGUGAUUUUCAAACUUCUAUAAAAUAAAUAAGUACUGAUUAAUUCUAACAAUGUAAAUAAAUCCUAAAUGCAAUGCAUGAUAUUUUUGGUAUUUUUUCAUGAUUUAAAUAAAAAUUAAACAUGCAUAAAAAUGCAAACAAUUAAUAAAAAUCUACAAAAAUUCCUAAAAAAGGUAAAUAAUUAAGAAAAAUCUAUUUUUUGAAAUUAUGUAGGAGUAAUUCAUGUGAGGCAAAAAUCACGUGCCCAUAGACCUUAUGAAAGAAAAAUCAACCUACACGUCGCGAUCAUAUAUGACUUCGAACUUAUAGUGGGAUUAGAAUUCUGAGGCAAACCAACACUAUACCCGCACCAUAUGCCAACAUGCUCCUGAUGAUGGAAGAAAACGGGGCCAAGCUCGCAUCAUAUCGUGCAUGCCCAUAAAGAUGGCCGCUGAAAAUAUCUCAUCCAUGCAGUUUAAGAAGGGAGUCAAAAGACAUGAACCUAUGGUUCCAGCAAUCUUGAAAAGUCAACCAUAAACUUGACACUAUUAAUUGUUUUUCAAAAAAUCACGACCCGUAUAAAUUAUGCAACUAAAAAUUAAAUCAGGAGCAGCAAAUAAGAAGCUCCAACAAGAUGUACACCAAUACAGAUAAAUUCACAAUAUCAGAUAUACCAAAGUAUUUCACAAUUAUGCAACUUUUAUCAAAUUAAAAACCAAAAUACAAAUUUCAAGAAAUACAUUAGUUACUAACAGGAAGAACCUUCUUGACAAUUUCAUCACUAAGAGCAGCAAUCUGAGAAUCAAGAGACUUAAUAGUCUCCUCCUUUUGCUUGUCCAAACUAGCUAAAGCGUCUUGCAACUCAACUUCAACUUUCUUCCUUCCUUCAGCAAUCUUCUGUUCCACUUCCAACUGAGUCUCUUUCUUCAUUUUGUUCAAUGCAGCGGAUACCUCAGCUCUUGCAGCUUUCAUUAUUGCUGCUGCUUGAUCUUCCAAUUGCUUCACUUCAGCUGAAGUGUCCUUCACACUGUUUAAUUUCUCUUUAAUGGCAGAAUCUCUUUCAUCCAUGAAUUUCCCUAAUGGGGAAAAGUAAAGUUUGUCUAAAGCAAACAUGAGGAAAAGGAACUCAGCCAUUAUGAUAGGGAGAGUUAAAUUGAAGUCAAAGAGUGAAGCUUUUUCAAUUUCUUCAGCAAGUGAAGGAGGUGCAAAGGCUAAUGAGCUAGCAAGAAUGACUGAAAUGGACUUGAGAUUUGAUGGGAGGGAAAGGGUUAGUGGGGAUUUGGGUAAUUUGGGGAUGGGUAGUUUUGGAAUUGGGAUUUGCGGCAGGGAAAGUUUGGUUCUUGGUGAUGAAGGAAUGGAAGAAGUGAUUAGGGCUUUGGAGGAAGCCAUGAUCAUGUUGGCCAUGGCUUAGGCUAUUUUCUUGAAUUUUUUUUGCUGCUUAGUUUUUUUCUGAGAUGAAUACACUGAUUUUUUGAUUUUUUGAUUUUGGGUUGGCUGAUAUUUGAUUUUUCAGGUGGAAGAAAGGAAGAUCUCAGAAAGGUUAUCUCAUUCUAUGCCACACAAUCUUGAAGAGGCUGAGAUGGAUUUCUCAAUUCUCAAAUUCUCACCAGUGGAAGGGUGUGCCACUCACGUGCCAUUAAAAUAAAAUAAAAUAAAAUUUGAAAAAUAGGUAAAAAUGUUAAAGUUGAUCUAAAUAGAAAGCGAUGAAUUCAGAUUAUUUAUAAAAUUCGAGAAAUUAAAGAUUGUUUUUAUUGUUUGAGAAGGUAACAUAUUAAUAUAUAGUAUUAAAUAAACAGGGAUUAUAUAAAGCAGUGUAGUCUUACAAGGAGAAUUGAAGCCUUUAAGUACUCAUGUUUAGACCAAAAAUAAAAGAGAACUAGACAGUUCAUCUUCACUAUCUGAAUGGAACUUUUAUUAUCUUCAAAACAUCUCAAAUAUCUAUUUUUUCAAAUUGUCCACCAGAUGCAAGCUUGAUCCACUUCUUAAAGAUUUAUUAUACCAUACCAGCAAACUCAACUUCUUCCAGGAAAAUUCUACCGUAGAAAAUAUAUUACGAAUGGUACAAAGCUUAAAAGCGAAAAAAUAUGGGGAAAAAUGAUUAAAUCUAGCAUAAUUAUACAGGUACAUGGCAAUAUUUCAAGUCACCAAAGUUUAACUAUAGAACGACAUGUUUAUUAUACAAGGUAUAGUAAAAUGCCUACUAGAAAAUUUAAAAAACAUGCCGAAAUAUAUAGGAAUCUUUAUAGAAGUAGCCCGCCGGUUUUCCAAUUUACCUUUUCUAAUCGAUAUACAUAAAUUAUACAUUAAAUAGAUAUGGUGAUACACAUGUUAUACAUAUAUUAUACAUUCGCCGGCUAGUUUUUAGUUUAACUAAUUGAAUGGGUUGCUAUUUAGGUUAAUUUUCAUAUAUAUAUAUAAGGCGGAUAAUUUAAGGCUAAACGAAAAUAUACAGACCAUUCUUGAUACGUACAGGUGAAAUAAUCUGAGGCAUAAAAUACGUAUGAAAUGACAAUCUCACCUAUCAAGGUAUGGGAUAAUGAGAUUUUAUGCUUCCAUAAUUGCUUUGAGAGCCAAGAGAAGUUCCAAGUGUGCCUUUUCAAAUUUGACUGAAUUUGACACAUUGUAUUCCCUAUUUCAAUUUAGAGGUUGAAAACGUUAAUAUACCUAGUAGCAAAAAAGUGGCCUCCUGUCUUUGACUUUGACAAUCAUUCUGAAAAAAAAUGAGCAAAAAGGAAUGACUAAAAAUAGUUAAGAUAUCUAUUUGAUUAAUCCAUUUAGCUCUUUAUUUUCCAUUUUUUCGUUCCAUAAACAGAGAUAAAAACGAAGGACAACUUUGACGUAAUUGGUAAAGUUGCUAUAAUGUGAUCAGGAGGUCACGGGUUCGAGCUGUGAAAAUAAUCUCUUGCAGAAAUGCAAGGUAAGAUUGCAUAUAAAAAACCCUUGUGCUUCACUAGAUCUUGCAGAAAUGUAAGGUAAGAUUGCAUAUAAAAAACCCUUGUGCUUCACCAGAUCUCGCCUGUAAUAGAAGCUUAGUGCACCACGCUGCCAUUUUUACACAAGAUAAAAACCUUUCUUUUUUACAGAUCAAUCCUAGACAUCAUAAUGUAAAGAGUCUAAAGUGAGAACACAACAGAGCUAUGAAAUGGAUUGCUUGUCAACCUAGUAUUCAGUCAAAACUAGGAGAUGUAUCUUAUUCCUUCCAAUGCCUCAAAUUAUACUUUUGUAUCUCUGUUUUCUGCCAAAAGGUAAAACUUACAUUAAAUCUGAAAUGGGAUACAUCAAGAUGAACAAGGGGUCAUGCCCAGAAAAGUCGGGAGUUUCUUUUACACAAUAACCAGAUAUUUUCAGACCUGCACCCGUGAGGUUUUUAGUGCAAAACCAGAUAUUUUCCUAAUUAUCUUGCUGAUCUAGCUUGUUGAAACUCCCUCUAAAUGCCACCCGAGCUCAUCUUGGUACAACCUAUUAUCAUCUAUAGAUGGGAAGAUACACUACAAGCAGCAGGAGUAUAUCUUCUCUAAUGAUAAGCUCAAGCUGGUAUCAAGUAAUGUGUUUUAUUGCAGAGCCUCAAAUGACAGUCUCGUCGGGAAAAGCAUAAUUCAAUGUGUUGACAUCAGUUUCUCUGCAGAAGCAGCUUGGCAUGUUGAAAUGAUUGGGAAGUUACAAGGCUAGAGCUCCAAUCAGUGUUGAUUACCAUUGAUGUUCAACUUGAUUCAUAUCCUAGAGCUGCAAAAAUGCUGGUUAUUGUUUUGCUUUCCAACUCUAUUUGGAAAGUCAAUACUUAUUAUUGUGCAACCGCACAACAAUUUUUCAAAACUCCUUAAGUAACCAUGGGGUAAUCUUGAUGCAUUACUCCAUCUUCUGCUCCACUCUCCUUUCUGAGUUCGCCAGUUUCCGCACAACAAUUUUCCAAAACUCCCCAAGUAACCAUGGGCUAAUCUUGAUGCAUUACUCUAUCUUCUGCUCCACUCUGCUUUCUGAGUUUGCCAGUUUCUGAUACGAUAACCACCCUCUAAAUAAAUGAAACAACCUGUACUGACAACUGCUAAGAAUACCCCCAUCAUUCUCAUCCUCAGAACUGCUGUCUUCAUCAUUCUCUGAAUCAUCUUGGGAUAGAUUAUCCUCUUCUUCACCUUUCCCCUCUUUGUCAGCAGAGCCGUUGGAUCUGCAGAUUGUGUGUUCCAAGAUAAUGUUAGCCCAAGUGCUCUAACAGUGUAGGAGUGCCAGAGGUAUUAAUGAACAUAGUAGACAUUUGAGACAUCCCGUCGCAACAAAAUAUAGGGUGCAACUCUGAUGAUGUGAAGCUUAAGUGAAAUAACCAAGCUUACAUUGGGAAAAAGAUGAAGCUACAGAAGGAACAUCUAGACAAGAAAGGUCCAAACAUUUCUCACUUAGUUCAACAAGUGCUUAGCUAUAGUGUUAAACAUGCUUCCACGAAUCUCUGCAAGCAAAUGUUCCAAGUAUCCUUACAUGAAAUUCUUGGUCCUUUAACCCAUUACUGUAAACUCUGCAUUAAGUUCCCUACCAGCAACAAGUAGUAGAUAAUACUUUUGAUUUUUUCGUUGAACUGAAAAAAUCAGGACGAGAGCAUGUCUCUGUAUUUUCCCUUUUACACCCUAAAAGUUUGAAAAAAGUUAUAUAUGAGCCAAGAUAAAUGAUUUGCUUUUCCAUGUCAGAUCUCUUUAAUUCCUUCAAACAUCUGAAUGGCUGAAAAUUCUUGAAGAGGUCCGAAACCUUCUAUUUCUACUCUGUUAUCACACAAGGUAGACACAAUCAUGCCCCCUCCAUUUACUCAAAUAACACCUCAAGAGAGAUAUAUAACUUGUGGUACCAAAAUUAUUGCAUAAACAACGAGUGCAUUUCACAAUAGUAAAGAGAUGAAGAACAACUACAUUCACGGAAAAGGAUAAGGAUGAAGUUGAUGUUACAGAACUUACGCGCCGGGAUCAUCAAAACAACGGUCCUCUCCUUCUGGCCAUGUUUUUACUGGAUUAUAACCAAUGGAUACAUGUCUCACAAAACUAAGCUGAAAAUAGAGAAAAAAAAUCUAUGAUAGAUCGUCAAAGAAUAUUCACACAGUAAUACUUUCACUAACACAGAACAAAACAUCAUUCUUGGAAAGGAGAAUCGCAUCUCAUGAUAGCAAAUGAGACUCCAUCUAAGACCUUGAAAGAAAGGUUAGCUUGUAGUGAACAAGGUGCUCUGCUUUUGCCCGCAGUUGCUUCUUGACAGUUCUGUAUUUUACUAAAUUAGAGGCGCAAAUCUAGUAAAAGAUACCACAGCCUCCGGAAAAAAAUAAUUGUGCAGAUUUGUAUACCCUGAGAAAUCAAUUCUAAUGUGUCAUGGUGUCACCCCUCCUCUUUUCCCUUUUUCCUUUUUUUUUGGGGGGGGNNNNNNNNNNNNNNNNNNNNNNNNNNNNNNNNNNNNNNNNNNNNNNNNNNNNNNNNNNNNNNNNNNNNNNNNNNNNNNNNNNNNNNNNNNNNNNNNNNNNNNNNNNNNNNNNNNNNNNNNNNNNNNNNNNNNNNNNNNNNNNNNNNNNNNNNNNNNNNNNNNNNNNNNNNNNNNNNNNNNNNNNNNNNNNNNNNNNNNNNNNNNNNNNNNNNNNNNNNNNNNNNNNNNNNNNNNNNNNNNNNNNNNNNNNNNNNNNNNNNNNNNNNNNNNNNNNNNNNNNNNNNNNNNNNNNNNNNNNNNNNNNNNNNNNNNNNNNNNNNNNNNNNNNNNNNNNNNNNNNNNNNNNNNNNNNNNNNNNNNNNNNNNNNNNNNNNNNNNNNNNNNNNNNNNNNNNNNNNNNNNNNNAAAGGGGAAUCCAUAUAAAUCAAUAUCUUCAUGCAGACUUAGUGGUGUUGACAUUCUUCUGAAUCAGCCAAUACAGCUGCAUAAGUGCACAUCACUGAUGUGACGAACCGACAAAGAAAUGGACCUUGGCAACCCCAAAAGCUAGCACAUGAGUAGAUGAUUGCCCAAGACCAUAAAUAAGGAGUACAAUUUCCCUUCCCACAGCCAAUAUGGGACUCAACAAUAACUUUACGGGAUCUCAGGGUGAACUAUAAUCUAAAAUAUCCCAGUUUGAUAAAAAAUGAUUCCCUUUGCCAAGUAGCCCAAUUCGACUGCUAAAGAAAAUCCUCAUAGAACGAAUCUUAAAAGGUGUUAAAAGAAUCUGUGAUUCGUCGUUGCCUAUGCUUAGUUUACACAAGAUGUGCUGAUCUCAGUGGUUCAUACAUCACAGAUUUAUUCCCUUGGGACUUGAGAGAAUAGGAGAGAAAAAGAUAUUUUCUUUUCUGUUAUUCAACCAGCUGACCGUGAAUAAACUUAUGCGGGCAAGUGAAAACACAUUUAGUUGCAGAAGGUGAAGAUCCUAAAAUUAUAAAAUCUAAAGAUUCUAUAAUGCCCGGACGUUCGAUGGACUGAAUAAUUUUUAACCUUGCUGUUAGCCUAAUCCUAUACUGUCUCCUUUUUUCAGAUUGCAGAUACCAAUGUAUUUGCAACAACCAUACACCAUAAAGACAUAUAUAAGAUUGUAUUCAUAUGAUCUUUCCCUAAAAAUCUUAUGAUAGAGAAUAAACCUCAUCACCAUUCUUUAUCCCAUAGGUUCCUAUCAAAUCAUCAUCAGCAAGUAGUUUCUGCCCACAAUAGCUCAGGCAAAAAUGUCCCCAUACAUGUAACCUGCAAAAGAGUCAGAUUCAAAUUAGGAGUCCUAAGAACUAAAUAAUUUGAUAUCUUUUAACUGUUCAGAAAGAAAUCAACUAGACGUUUUGAACAAGGUAGCAAAUAAGUUGUUUGUCACCGUGAAAAGUUAGAACCCCAGAUAAAGUAGAGUGCGAAAGUAAGACGGAAAUGAAAGUCAACAAUUAAUGAAUACAGUUUAAGGAACACCAGACCAACCAAACAUUCAUUAUUGCAUGCCGCGUUUAAGAAAGGGGAUAUUGGAACAAGGAAUUGGUAUUUAAAAUCCAUUAACGUUAAUAACUCUAAUGAUUGAUGGAGAAAAAUCACCAAACCACAUUUUAUCUUGCUAUGUUGCACAAUCCACAUAGCUAGAUGAACAAAACAUAUCUGAAUCGAGAUCCACAAUAAUGCAUCACAGAUAUAGAUUCCAAUAAUCAGCUUUUUGGAUGGAAUAUUUCUCUCUCGGUGCAAGUUAGCUUAACCUGCUUACCAUGGGUAAGAGAGCUCGUAUUCCUUCGCAGAAAGCUCUAAUGGCGAGAGAAUCUGCAGCAGCUCAAAGCAAUGCUCAGAAAGGAGUCAAAGACAAAGCAAUCUGUGUAGAAAAUCGAAAUGAAACGCAAUUAAGCCCUAAUCGCAAUGUAACAGUACCUAAUCAAUUGAGCCCUAAUCUCAAUGGAACAGUACUGAAAAGUAAUGAGAGUGAGAAGAUGAAGCAAAUCGAAGCAAUUCAACUGUGGAAUCGGGUACAAGCAUCUACAAGCAGCAAUCAACCUUUGCAUGUGAACAAUGGCAGGAAAUCAUGGGCUGAAGAAGCAGAAGAAGAGACAGGAAAGCAGGGGAGAAAGAAUUCAGUAUGGGACAACUUCAAUAUAUUAAAAUCCCAAAUGCUAGGUACAAAUUAGAGUAUGUGCAACCUAAAUCGCAAGGUGAGUCAACUUUUGGUGAAAUUGUACUAGAAGACAUAAAAACAGAAGUCGAAUAUUGGGGAAAUGCAGUUAUUUGCUAUGUCCUAGGGGCUCACCCUUCAUUUUCAGUGAUACAAGGCUACAUUCAAAGGCUGUGCGGUAAACUAGGUAUUGACAGGAUUGCAAUGUUAAAAAAUGGAGUUGUUGUGGUGCGAUUUGAUACAGUAAUAGGAAAACAGGAGGUUAUUGAAGGGGGGAUAUACCAUUUUGAUAACAAACCUUCCAUUGUGAACUACUGACAGAAUUAGAGUUCACUUGUGAGGAACUACUGACAGUUCUAAUAUGGAUCAAAUUGCCGGGAUUGGACUUCAAAUAUUGGAGUCCAAGGGGAUUGAGUAAGAUUGGAAGUCUGGUGGGAAAACCAUUGAUGGUAGAUCAAAACACAGAGAGAAGGAAUGGUUUGAACUUUGCUAGACUAUUGGUGGAAGUGGAAAUGGAUGCUAAAUUACCAGAGGUGGUGAAGUUCAAAAAUGAAAAAGGAAGAAUAAUAAAACAGAGGGUAGUUUAUGAUUGGAAGCCAACCCUAUGUGCCCAUUGUGCUAAAUAUGGGCAUGAGGUGACAGUGUGUAGACUCAAGAAGAAGACACCAACAACUGGGAACAAUGAAAAUCAAAAUGGCAAGCAGGAAGAUAAACAAGCUCCAAAGGAAGAUGGGAAAAAGCAGGAAGCUCAGAAGGUUUCCACAGUAAUGAAGGGAACCCCGACUAAAAAUUAUACUAGCCACACAUCAGCAAAGUGAAGCAAAAGUGCAAAGUGCAUCUAAGGAGAGGGAGGAGGCAUCAGGAUGGAAAACUCCUCAUAAGGUACGCAAAAACAAUCCAAAGUGAGCAGAUGGAAGAAUCAAACCCUUUCCACAUAUUGCAUAAACAGGAAGCAAUAAAUCAGAUGAAGGAAGUAAAUGUAGGAAAUAAGGUGGGUGGAUAAACUAUUCCUCAUUGUGGGAAUGGUUAGUCUACUUAGCUGGAACAUUAGGGGGCUAAAUGCCCCUAAUAAGCAAAAGGAGGUGAAGCUCCUUUGCAAUGAGGAAAAAGUAGGCUUGAUAGGUCUACUUGAAACUAAAAUAAAAAAGGAAAAGAUAGAGGGCAUAGCAGACAAGUUGUUCACAGGAUAGUAGUAUCUUACUAACUUGGAGUGUCACUAUAAUGGAAGAAUAUGGGUUACUUGGAGGCCAGACUAUUACCGGAUUGUGUUGAAAUAUAAGACAACUCAAUUGAUAACUUGUGAAGUGCUGAGUAUUCAACUUCAUUUAUCUUUUGAGGUAAUAUUUGUGUAUGCUUUCAAUACAAAAGAGCAGAGAAGGAGUCUAUGGGAGGACUUAGUCAGCCAUAGCAGAACAUGUAAAAACCCUUGGUUGGUUGUGGGGGAUUUUAACUCAAUCUUAAGUGUUGAUGAUAAAAUUGGAGGUAAUGAAGUGACUUGGGCAAAUGUGGUGGAUUUCAAUAAUUGUAUAAUGGAAUGUGGUUUGAUGGACCUUCCUGCACAAGGAAACAAAUAUACUUGGAGUGAUAAGCAUGAUGAGCAAAGAAUAUCUUCAAAAAUAGAUUGGAUAUUCAUCAAUGAAGAAUGGUUUGACAACAUGCCUGAAUGUGCAGCUAGAUUCUUGCCAUAAGGAAUAAGUGAACACUGCCCGGCCAAAGUGUUCUUAACUCGUGAGAGGCACAGAGUCAGAAGAUACUUCUAAUACUGCAAUGUAUGGUCUCAACAUCCACAAUUUUAAGCCAUAGUGAGGGAAGGAUGGAACAGUAAUAUAGAAGGAUAUAAAAUGUUUACCAUUGUCAGGAGGAUGAAAGCUCUAAAGAGGAAGCUCAAAGAAUUGAACUCUCAGGCUUUUCUUAAUAUAGUAUCUGAAGCAAAUGAAAGCAGGAUAAUUCUAAAGCAGGCACAAACUCAACUACAAAUGAGCCCAUCAAAGUUGGAGUAUCAACAAGUAGAAAAGGAAGCCUACAACAGAUAUAGGCAACCUUCAUAUUUAGCUGAAGUAUAUCUACAGCAAAGAAGUAAGGCAACAUAGAUCAAGCUGGGUGAUGACAACACCAGAUACUUCUACUUAGUCAUCAAGCAUAGGAAGUUAAAGCAAGCAACUACUCAACUUAAAGAUGGUAAGGGUAACUGGCAAACUGACCUUGAUGCUAUAGCAGGAAUGUUUGUGGAGUACUAUAAAGAAUUGCUACGGAGAAAGACACAUGAUAGAAAGAAUGCAAUUAAAGGGAUUCUGGAAAAUGGUCUAUUACUAUCAGAGAGCCAGCUGUUGGAGAUGAUGAAGCCAUUCAAUGAGAAAGAAGUUAAACAGGCUGUGUUUCAAAUUGAAAGCAAUAAGAGCCCUGAUCCUGAUGGUUAUGGUAGUGGAUUUUAUAAAUCGGCUUGGUCAAUAAUAGGUAGAGAUGUGUGUGAUGCUGUACUAGAAUUUUUCCAAAAUGGAAAGAUGUUGAGAAAAAUAAACUCAACCAAUAUAGCAUUAGUCCCUAAGGUGGAAAAUCCAGAAGAUACAACUCACAACUCAGUACAGACCCAUUGCCUGCUGCAAUGUCAUAUACAAGUGUAUUUCCAAAAUGAUCUGUGAGAGAUUAAAACCAGCAGUGAGCCAUAUAGUUUUAAAUAACCAAUCAGCCUUUGUUCAGGGGAGAUCUAUGAUGCAUAAUGUGCUGAUCUGCCAUGACCUGCUAAGACACUAUAAUAGAAAAACAUCUCCAAGAUGCUUAAUGAAGAAUGAUCUAAGGAAAGCCUAUGACAUGGUGAGUUGGGAAUUUCUGGAAGAAGCAUUGAUAGGCUUUGGGUUCCCUGAUAGAUUUAUAAAAUGGAUCAUUGUGUGUGUGACUACCACUAUGUUUACAAUAAAGAUAAAUGGAGAAGGGCAUGGUUACUUUGCAGGGAAGAGAGGAUUGAGACAAGGAGAUCCAAUAUUUCCAUUGCUAUUUGUUUUAGUUAUGGAAUACCUCUCUAGGACAUUGAAGACUAUCAGGAGGCAGCCUGAUUUCAGCUUUCAUCCUAUGUUUAAGAAGCUGAAGUUGACACAUCUCAUCUUUGCAGAUGAUCUGAUGAUUAUCUGUAAAAGGAAUGAGAAAUCAGUGAGCAGAGUAAUGGAAGCUUUAGAAUAUUUCAGUAAGGUUUCAGGGUUGAUUGCAAACAUGGAUAAAUUCAGCAUGUUUAUAGCUGGAGUAGAAGAAGAAAUCAGAGAUGUUUUGCUGACAAAAACUGGAUUUGCACUGGGCACAUUUCCAACCAGAUACCUAGGCUUGCCGCUAUCACCAAGGAAUGGAAUAAGAUAGAUUUGCCAAAUGCAAAUAAGGAAGAUCACACAUAGGAUAACUGUCACAUAUUCUAGACAGUUGUCUUAUGCACGGAGACUACAAGUUGUCAAUGCAGUACUUUUCUCUAUACAUAGUUUUUUGGGGACUCUCUUUAUUCUACCUAAAAGUAUUUUAAAGGAGGUUGAUAAAAUGUGUAGGGAUUAUCUGUGGGGGAAGAAUGAGGGCCAGAAGAAAGUAGCAUUAGUGGCAUGUUAGAAAGUUUGCUGUCCAAAGAAGCUAGGUGUUAAAUGUGAAAGGUUGUAAAAUAUGGAAUACGGCAUCAAUAGGGAAGUUAGUGUGGCAACUGGUAAUGAACAAAGAGUCCAUUUGGGUAAGAUGGGUGCACGGUGUAUACAUGAAAGCUGAUAGAGAUUUCUGGACUCAUAGUCCUCCUACUGACAGUAGCUGGUAUUGGAGAAAAUUAAACUCUUUAAAAGGAGAAAUGCAAGGGUGGUACUCACAAGGCAGGUAUAGCCUAAAUCCAGGAGGCAGCUACUCUAUAACUAGAAACUAUCUAGCUAUGAUAAAGCAACGACCACAACUGAAGAUAGCAGACUUAGUAUGGACUGCUGUGGCUCUACCUAGACACAGAUUUAUUAUGUGGCUGGCAACAACAACAACAACAACAACAACCCCCCAGUAUAAUCCCAUUUAGUGGGGUCUGGGGAGGGUAGUAUGUACGUGGACCUUACCCCUACCCUUGGGUAGAGAGGCUGUUUCCAAAUAGACCCCCGGCAUCCUUCCCUNNNNNNNNNNNNNNNNNNNNNNNNNNNNNNNNNNNNNNNNNNNNNNNNNNNNNNNNNNNNNNNNNNNNNNNNNNNNNNNNNNNNNNNNNNNNNNNNNNNNNNNNNNNNNNNNNNNNNNNNNNNNNNNNNNNNNNNNNNNNNNNNNNNNNNNNNNNNNNNNNNNNNNNNNNNNNNNNNNNNNNNNNNNNNNNNNNNNNNNNNNNAAUAGACCCCCGGCAUCCUUCCCUCCAAGAACUUCCCACCUUGCUCUUGGGGAGACUCGAACUCACAACCUCUCAGUUGGAAGUGGGGGUUGCUUACAAUCAGAGCAACCCCUCUUGUGGCUGGCAAUUCAAGGGAAAUUACUUACCAAAGAUAGACUAAUAGGGAUGCAAAUUCCUGUGGAAAUAUGUUAUGUGAAGCAGACCAGAUGGAAACAAAAGAACAUAUAUUUGUUGAAUGUGACUGGAAGCAGUUAGACAAGAUAUCAAUCAGAUAGGGCAAUCAGUGCAUGAAGAAGACUUCAAGCUGAUGCUGGAAAGGAUAAAAAAUAAGCACAGGAAGCAGUUCAAGAAGAAGGUGAUAGCAGCAGUCAAUGGAGCAAUAAUAUAUCACACUUGGAGAGCUCGAAAUCUCAAAAUUUUUCAAGGAAAAAAUGUACAUAGAGUGGAGGCAGUAGAACAAAUUAAGAGGGAAAUCACAGAGAAAGUAGAACACAUGAGGUUAUCAAAGAAGGCUCAUAGGUGUAGGAGUUUUAUACAAAGUAUAUUGUGUAAUUAGGUUGUGGAGUUGGGGACCUUAAUUAGUGGUCUGAAAAAGGUUGCCCUAUAAGUGUAAUUGUUUUGACUUGGACAAGAGGGGUUGCUCUGAUGGUAAGCAACCCCCACUUCCAACCGAGAGGUUGUGAGNNNNNNNNNNNNNNNNNNNNNNNNNNNNNNNNNNNNNNNNNNNNNNNNNNNNNNNNNNNNNNNNNNNNNNNNNNNNNNNNNNNNNNNNNNNNNNNNNNNNNNNNNNNNNNNNNNNNNNNNNNNNNNNNNNNNNNNNNNNNNNNNNNNNNNNNNNNNNUCUCUACCCAAGGGUAGGGGUAAGGUCUGCGUACACACUACCCUCCCCAGACCCCACUAAAUGGGAUUAUACUGUGUUGUUGUUGUUAAUGGUAAUUUUACAUUGUUACCAAAAAAAAAACUAUAGAUUCCAAUGUAAAGAAUUCAUGAUCAACAACCUAUUUAAUUUUCCCUUUGAUGUAAAGAAUUAGGAACCCUUUUUAAAGCACUGCAUCAGGCACAACCAAACUUGUGUGGGAUGGCUAGAAACACCACAAUGCUCGUUUGUUCUGUAAAUUCCUAAUAUAUUCUAUUGAAUUUUUAACAACUCCUCGAAUCCUGUUUAACCCCCCCNNNNNNNNNNNNNNNNNNNNNNNNNNNNNNNNNNNNNNNNNNNNNNNNNNNNNNNNNNNNNNNNNNNNNNNNNNNNNNNNNNNNNNNNNNNNNNNNNNNNNNNNNNNNNNNNNNNNNNNNNNNNNNNNNNNNNNNNNNNNNNNNNNNNNNNNNNNNNNNNNNNNNNNNNNNNNNNNNNNNNNNNNNNNNNNNNNNNNNNNNNNNNNNNNNNNNNNNNNNNNNNNNNNNNNNNNNNNNNNNNCGGCCCCGGCCACAGAUCACAAAACUGUCUAGAUUUGCUAUAUUAGCAGCAUUUCCAUUAGCAGUGUGCAUACCAUGAAAUCUUGCAAUGGCUGAAGGCCUCUUCCACCGCCCGUUUGAGAUCUUCCACGCUCCCAUUUCUAGCCACUUCAAUAUCUACAAAUCCCAAAAUUCAAUACAUUACAAAUCAUCCAAAAUUCACACAUAUGCUCAACCCAAAAUAUGCAUCAAAAGUGCAGAAUUAUACGAAAUGUUACCAAAACACGAGCCAUCCAAUUUGAGGAUGGUAAGCUUAAGGGGUUCCUCAGGUAAUUUAUCAUACAAGAAAGGUGCUGCUACACAAAUAAAAGAUCCAUUCCUUCUUAAUGAAACUUUAGGGCUAACAUCAUCUUCCUCCAUUGUCUCUAAGGUUUGCAUGACUAGUAUGCAAACCCUCAAUUAAACUUAUUCUUAUUUCUGACUUGUACAUUGAUUCAUCACUACCAUGUUUGGUCAAAAAUUUCCCCUGUUGUUUCAAAGGGGUUUGGUGUUUGGUGAAGAAUUAGGGUUAGAGUCUCGUUUAAUGAGGAGAGAAAGAAUGUGAGAGAGGAGAGAGGACAUCAGUUAUUUUUGCUGAUUUCAGCUUUUGUAAGGAAUAGAACGACAGUUAUUUUGGUUCCCGGCAUCAACUGUUUCAAUCACGCACCAACACGAGCGUGUUAAACAAAUUUGCUUCUUCUCGUUCUUUUUUAUUUUUAAUUUUUUUAUAUCAAGAAUAGUAAUAUAUGAAUGCCCUUCAAAUUUCCAAAUGAUUUGGUGGCUACCAUUAGAUGUAGGGAUUUUGAACUUUUUUAUUUUUUCCAACCUUCAAUGGUUCAAAUUCCUUGUCGUUUGAGUUAGUUUUACGAUACUUUUUAUAUUAAAAUUUUCUUACAGUACAUGCAAGUAUUUUGGGAACCAGCAAUAGAUCAAACCUCCCUGUAAUAAUAAUAUUAUAUAACAAUACUUUUCUAUAAAAGUCAAAUUUUUUUCCGAAAUCAUUUUUCAUUUUAUGUUAUAACAUAGUAUAUAUUUUCGAUAACAACAUCUCACUAUAACAUCCAAAAAUAUUUUGACGAACAAAGUUACUAUAAAAAGGUUUGACUUGACUAUAUUAGUAUUAGUACCUCGGAGCUACUAAUAUAAAUUCAAAAAGUUUAUAGGUUUAUCAUCUUUUUCAUGUUACCAUUACACUUAAUAAUAAAUAUAAGUACUUGUAUUUUCCUCCGACAAGCCAGUCAGCUAUUUCUAAAAUUAGCUAGAAGACCCAGUUGAUCUAAAAUUUAUUCACUUGCUCCACUCCUAUUUGCCAACCAAGAAUGUAGAUAUUAAAAUUCUGUCGUCAUAAGAUGGACUAGCAGAAAAUAGAGACAAAUACCGCAAGAUAGAUAAAUUAAUAGGAAAAAAACAAAUUGCCUAAGAAAGGCAUCAUACAGCUAACAUCGUUGGGGUCACAACUUGCCCCAUGAAGAAUCUCGUUAAGCAAUGGGUUUAAAUUACAAACUGUUCACAAAAAGAAUGUCAUUACUGUGUACAUCUCAAACUACUUAAGUUUCCCUCGUCCUUGUGGGGUAAUUCUCCUUUUUAGGGCCCUGGCUCGGUCCUGCAACAAGCUACAAUCUUUACGCUUGCCCAAUUCUCAGUAACAUUAAUUUCAACAGGGACUUUUACUACCCCGAUGAGGAUCAGAUACCUGAAUUACCCAAGGAAAAUUAUACCUUGCAGCUGAGUGUCUCUUCAAACAUCACAUAAUUACCAUUACAAAAAUGGGGGAGAAUAAUGCUGCAAAUAAUAACUUUUCCUGGAACGAUCACAUGGACAUUCUCAACAAUCACUUCCCUAUGAGUUUGUAGUAGGCAUAGAGACCAGAGCCAACAAAUCCCAGAAGCUGCCCAAGUACAUUCAACUGAAAGCAGAUAUCCAUCUACAAUGAUUAGCAGACAAAAUAAAAGUGGCGGUCACAUAAACAGCAAUAGUACGCUUACCAUAUCAAAUGGAAGCCCACCAAAAAUGAACCAUCCUAAGGAGAUUGUAAAAAAGUCCUGCAUAAAAGGAAGAAAAAGCUGUAGUAGUGAUAGAGACUCAUCAAUCACUGACAUUUUAGCUUCUGUUUACUCGAGGUACAUGACCAAUUAAAUAAAUGGAAGUCUCGCAAGCAUAGGACCUUGGUUGGAAAGUGGACUCAAGCCACUUACCAAGGUGCAACCUAUCUCUGCUGAGAAAUGAAAACCCAGAAAGAAGCUCAUCUUCAAGAGAAUCCUACAAGUGCAAAUGCAGAGAGCAGAUUCACAAGCUAACUGCGAUUAGCACAGCUCAAGUUCAAAGGAGAUAAAGAUUGACAGCCAGCCCAGUAUAGUGAAUAACUCUCUCUUCUUUUUUCAAUUUCAUAUUAGAAGCGCUUUUUCACAAAAACACAGGGAGUAGAUGAAAAUUUGAAGGUGCAUAGGGAAUUGAAGGGCAAAGAAGUUGUAGGCAGUAGGGCUCUGAAUCUCGUUUAUUGGCCCCAUGGCGAUUGGAUCACUUUCUACUCUUCUUUAGAGGGGUUUAGGAAGGGCAGGAGGAGGGGGGCAGAGGUUGGUAGAUCACCUCUUCAGUUUGAUACCUAACUUUUGACUGAAAGUGCAAUCUGACUUUUUUGAGUGAAGGUUCAGUUUCAAACUUAGAUAUUUCCGCAUCACAAGCCCCAAGGACAACUUAAUGUAAAUUUCCAUCAGCUCUACAAAAGAUUCAUGUAGCUUCAUGCUCAACUACAACUACAUAGAAAUGAAAAAAACUUUCGACAAAGGACAUGAGCUAUUUUUUGGUAUGUUUAAAGAAAGUAUAUCUGCAAGUUAUCUAUUGAAAUUACUACAAGGAUGAUAAUCCAGUAAUUGUAUAGUGACAUGAGGCUAUUCUAUAAAGCUGGCUUCUGUGGGACAAGGUGAUAAGUUCAGCGAUUUUGUUCUCCUUUGCCAUCAUUUUGGGGAUAUUGGAUGUAGCUGAUGGUAGGUCGAAAUUAUGGCAGUUCCAAUAGAUUGAAAAACACAAUACUUAAAUCCGUACUUUAGAAGUUAACAUCUUGUUCUGCUAGGUAUUUGAUCCUCAUAUGAGUUGUACGUCCAUCUUUAAAUUCCAAGUAUUCAAAGGAGAUGCUAUAAGACCACAAUACUCUUUAGUUCUUCAAAAGGAAAUCAAGGAUUAAUGUGAGGACGAGAAAAUUUACGUGCAACAACAUGCAUGAGAGGAAAUGAGCACUGGAUAAUUGGUACUAUAUCUCAAGAGGAAGGUAUGAUGGACAAAGGCUGCAGGCCUCUAACUGUUUUUGCCACAUCUUCCUCUAACAACUCUUAACUAAAGCUGAUUAAAACAAAAGCAGGAAAAUCUAGAAAGAGAAUCAAGUGACCAAGGUUCUUCAUCACUUUUAUAUGGAUAUUGUAGUAAAAUUAUCAGAGUUAAAAAAGGUAGAUGGAGCAAAUCCCAUUUGCUGGUUCAGGUGAUUAGAUAGAGAUGUAAAUUUUCCAUUUGAUAGUAGGUAAUAUAUUAAAGAAUUCUAACUGCAAAACUUGUUUCAAUUGUCAUUUAGUAAAUAGAAGUCCUUCUAUACACUGUUGGAAAGGAUUUACUAUACUAAAAUUUAUAUUAUAGGAUCAAAUUACAAAAGGAGCGGGCAUGUCCACUUAUAGCUGGCUUAAGGAGGUUAGGCACCCCCCUCCCCCCCAACCCUCUUUUUUUUUUUUGCUUACUUAGCAAAAGAAAGAGAAGGAAUAUGCCCCGUCUUCCAUUUUGUAGCUGUUCUAUUUGGUUUAAUGAACAUGCAGGGUUUAGAGCCUAACCCUCCACCUAUUUAGGUGGAUUUAUGUAAAAAAAUGAAUUCCUUCAGAGAGAACUUCAAGAGAUGCAAGGUUCACAGAGAUAACUUUUACCCUUCACAUGUGGGUUAUCAGCACCCUCUACUGCGACAAGCCUUAUGAGGAGCCCAGGUACUCUAGAAAUGACUGUUCUCCAGCAACUGAAACUUUGUGAAAAAUAACAAAAAGAAGAGCACGUGCUAGAAAUUCUUACUAUUCAUUAAUCGCUAGUCCUAGCUUAGAAUGAUGAGAUAUUUUAAUUGGCAUUAGAAACCAAAAACUUGCACACUGGGGAGCCAAACCUCAAAAUUACAUCCUAUGAGCAAAACCCCUCUGGUCAGCAUGCAAGGAUGCAAGCAAAAUACAGAAUCUCCUUUCAUUUUCUCAAAAUAGCACAAUCGCUUGCAAUCGUGCACUCUAUUCAACUCCAGUUGACAAAGCAAAGUAUUUGACUACCUGAAUUAUGGACUUGGAUUCCUCCACAAGACCACAAACAUCUUUUGCCGGAAAAAUGAUACUUCGCACUUUCUCCAAUUGGAGUAUCAACCCAGUAAGGUGAAUCAGAAAGCUUAAUAGAAUAAAAAGAUUCCUUGGAGAACAAACCUUCAAGUUACCACAUAUUGUCUGUGUGACAGCUGAAUUCAGUGUUGUAUUGAGAAAUAUGCAGUAGUUCAAGAAAAAUGCCAAUAUGCAAGACAUAAGCAUUACGACCUGCUCAUUUACAAAAUACGAGAGUCAAAACACAGCUAUACGACAUCCCAUUAAGACACUUAUAAGUAGCAGUUAAAUGUCCAGCAACAGUUGGAAGGAACCAGGUGAGAGUAUGCUAGUAUGAAAAUGGUGGGACAUAUUUACAUUUGAAACAACAUUGAUGUUUGGAGCAGGAUUCACUCUCUAUGCUUUUCCUUUUUACCCAAGGGAAGCAAAAAUAUUGUUCCAGAGGUGGGAGAUGGGGGAGUGGGGAAGAACACCUAUGACUUUGAGCUCCCCAAGAGACAAUGCGAUGAAGCAAAGUGGACUAUCACAUUAUGUGGUACAGGAAAAGAUCAGUGAGAUAGUAAGAUACCAUAAUCAAAUUAACCGUGAAACUUACCAGGAAACCUGGUGAAAACAAGUACGGAAAGUUCAUUGUCAGUGCGAGGUCACCUCGAAUAAGUGACCAAACAAGUAAGAGAGGCCCACAGAUGAUUCCUAUUAGAGGUAAAAAGAACAAAAAGAAUCAGAAAACCAGAACUAGGAUGAACAGCAAGGAUGACUAAUAGAGAACGAGAGCAAUACCAUUGCACCACAUUAGGCCAAAGCUAUUGAGGCCACUUGAUUUUCCUGGAUAGCUGGAAAUAUUAGAAAGGACCAAAAAGAUAUCAACCUGAAAAGAAUACAUGACAAGGCAAAAACAUUACCAAUCCGCGCUAUGGUUGCAAGGUAUAUUGCCGUUGUGAUGUUGGAUAAGAAGACAACAGCAUAGCCAUAAAAGUCAAAUGACAAGUCCCGAGCUCCAGCGACAAAAGCACCAAACACGAUUAUCACCACACUGGUAAUGUUAGGCAAUGUUUGUUAGAGAACGAGCGAGAAAUAUGCUCACGGUGUUACUCAAACUAUGUGCUUGAAUUAUGUGUGAUUAAGAGAACCCUUAACAGAAGAAGCACGAAUAAAACUUACGGAAGGCAGGCAACAAUAACUUAUCUUCUUACGGGUCAAUUUAGAAGUGUAAAAGGAGAAUCCCAGAGGUUAUUAUGGUUACCAAGAUUAGGAAAAUGUUCAUGGUAUAAAAUUCAAUAAUAUCUUAUACCGUGUUUGGUUAGAAUUUUAUAUGACAAAUUUGGUAUUAUUUUGUGCCGGAUCCAGCAUGGAUAACUCACACAGGGAUUCACUUUAUGGGUAUAAAACACCUAAAAACAAAAAUAACCUUGAUUAAAUCUUUCUAUUCUUUAUUUACUUCUAAAAUAAGGUAAAAUUGUAAAUUUUUACAUUAUACACCGUAUAUUUCAUUUUUAAUGCAAUCAACCAAACAUCUGGCAAGCACUAAAUAAACCAGUGAUUAUAAAUCCCUGUAUACAAUCCUUGGAUUAUAAUUCUUGCAUAACAGAAUCCCUGGGGUCGUUUGCUUUCGCUAACAAGGUUAUGCCGGGAUUAGUUAUCCUUGUAUUAUUUCUUAUCGAUUGUUUGGUAUGUUGUAUUAAUCCUCGGAUUGCCAAUUAUACUACUUAUCCUGGGAUUAUUAUUCCACCCACUGGCAGGUAUAAGUUAUCCCGGUACUUCUUUUCAUCUUGGGAUAACUUAUCCCAAGAUUAGUAACCAAACAAGGGAUAAAGCGAUACUAAAUUUUUAUACCAGGAUUAAUUUUGCUUUAUCCAUCAUACCAAACAAGUCCUUAGUGUUUAAAUGAUAAACCCCUUAAUAGACCGUUAGUACUAAUUACUAGAAAUUUACAGAACUGAGACGAAAGAGAAAAUUAAACGUUCUAUUCUUUUUGGAGCUUCCAGCAGAGCGCAGAUGAAGCAACAGAAUAUAGCGAUAUAUUUGGCUCUCAUGUAUCAUACCAUUAUGCUAUUUAAGGCUGUCAGGUUGAGCAACCAGUUUCCAACUUUAUGCAUUUAGUCAGAAAUCACAUUUCCCAGGGUCAAAAGCCUCGUUUCAACUUUAUGCAUUUUUUAGUCAAAAAAAUUUU